UACGUAGGGUGCGAGCGUUGUCCGGAAUUACUGGGCGUAAAGAGCUCGUAGGUGGUUUGUCGCGUUGUUCGUGAAAACUCACAGCUCAACUGUGGGCGUGCGGGCGAUACGGGCAGACUAGAGUACUGCAGGGGAGACUGGAAUUCCUGGUGUAGCGGUGGAAUGCGCAGAUAUCAGGAGGAACACCGGUGGCGAAGGCGGGUCUCUGGGCCGAUACUGACGCUGAGGAGCGAAAGCGUGGGGAGCAAACAGG
rnacentral:rRNA from 1 species